AUCUGCUGCGGGCAAAUGAAGUGGAUAUGCGAAUCAAUGCCACCCGCGGUUAAAAUCGAUCCUUCCCCGGCCAACACUUCCGUACCCGGCCCAACGAUGAUAUCCACACCCGGUUGAAUGUCUGGGUUGCCUGCCUUACCAAUGGCUGAAAUACGCCCGUUCUUCACCGCCACAUCGGCCUUGAUAAUGCCCCAAUAGUCGAGGAUCAAUGCAUUGGUAAUCACCAGAUCAGGCGUUUCACUGCUUGGCAUUUGGCUUUGACCCAUGCCGUCAC
rnacentral:sRNA from 1 species